rnacentral:rRNA from 1 species
CACUGACGUCGCGACGCAUAUCAAUAAGCGGAGGAAAAGAAACUAACAAGGAUUCCCUUAGUAACGGCGAGUGAAGCGGGAAGAGCUCAAAUUUGAAAUCUUCAAGGUUCUACCUUGACGAAUUGUAGUUUAAAGAAGUGUUUUCGGUUAGAGGAGUAGCUAAAAGUUCCUUGGAAUAGGACAUCAUAGAGGGUGAGAAUCCCGUAUUUGAUUAUUCCUUCUAGCUUUGUGAUACACUUUCAAAGAGUCGGAUUGUUUGGGAAUGCAGUCCAAAAUGGGUGGUAAAUUUCAUCUAAAGCUAAAUAUUGGCGAGAGACCGAUAGCGAACAAGUACCGUGAGGGAAAGAUGAAAAGAACUUUGAAAAGAGAGUUAAACAGUACGUGAAAUUGUCAAAAGGGAAGCGUUUGACACCAGUGUUGUUUUUCCGAAAAUCAAUUAUAAAUGUUUUGUUUCUGAGGAGUGAUGACUUCAUCGGCUUCCUUCUCUCUUCACGAAACUUUUGUAAUGCACUUUUCGGUUAACAAGUCAACAUCAAUUUCUUUUGUUGUAAAAGAGUAUUCGGAAGGUGGCUUUCUUUUCGGAGAAAGUGUUUAUAGCCCUAUACUUCUACAAUCGGAGAGAUUGAGGUCUGCAGCGUAGAUCCUUCGGGGUUAGAUACAUUUGUGCUAAGUUAUAGCUUUUCAUAGACAACUUGUUGACUAUGUUUAGUCAUGUCGCUUACUCGCUUGUGCUAUUUUACCUACGCUUAGGAUGUUGAGUCGUAGAGCACGCAG